rnacentral:rRNA from 1 species
UACGAAGGGGGCUAGCGUUGUUCGGAAUCACUGGGCGUAAAGGGUGCGUAGGCUGGUUCUUAAGUCAGGGGUGAAAUCCUGAGGCUCAACCUCGGAAGGGCAUUUGAUACUGGGAGCCUUGAGUCCGGAAGGGGUGAGUGGAACUGCGAGUGUAGAGGUGAAAUUCGUAGAUAUUCGGAAGAACACCGGUGGCGAAGGCGGCUCACUGGUCCGGAACUGACGCUGAGGCACGACAGCGUGGGGAGCAAACAGG